GCUGCGUGGUUGCAGGAGUUGGGUUGACUGUUUGCCCAAACAGGAACGAGGGAAGUUGGAUAUUAAUUGCGUUAAAGAAGCCUCAGGUGGCUGUACAAGUUUCAUAACUCUCGAAUUAUGGAUGUGGAUCCAGAAACUGGGUAAGAACGCUAAUGCUUCGAAAUGGGAUGGUUAGGUGUUAUGGUUCAACCAAUAAGUGUGCUGUGUUCAGUUUUGUCUGUGUGGUGUAUAUGGGAGGACAUUCACUCCUGGGUUCAGGUCAAUGUUGUUGUCUGAGAAGUCUCGCUUGUCAUGUCAUGUUAAUGGUUUAUGUUUUGUGUUUAAUGUUUGUGUCGUCUUAAUUAAAAGCAGAAAUGGAGCACUCAUGAAGCCGGCUAACAGAAGUAAUGAAGGAUGUGAUCACGUGCAAGAGACUAUUGACCUUUAGUCACCAAGGACAGUGUGACUGACAAGAGAAUACGGUCUACACAGACUGUUGAAUGACUGAUUUGUUGAAAUAACAUUAUUUUACAGGACGCCCAGGAGGAUGCAGCUUGAUAGUGUUGUUGUAUUGCAGGUUGUUGGUGUGCUGACUUAACGCUGAUUUUUAUGUGAUUCUUGGUCUAUUGACAUUAACACUUUUGUGAAACAAGUUAACAAUUGGUUGGGGAAUAAUAUCAAUGUUGGGUGACAAUUGCCGACUUGUCCCUUCUCUGGAGUACAUAUACAAGAAUUAUGUAGUCCACCCCUUUGGCAGGAGUAUCUUUUGCAGAGUUGUGAUUAAUUUAUAUAAGGGUUUGUUUGCAGGUCUUGUCAACUGGGCCUCUGCGACGGGGAAGACGACCUGCUUGAUUGUGGAUGGUGUUGUAUAUGGAUAUUGUGUUUUGGUGUUAAAUUGGUCAUUUUACAUGGGGGGAAAUAUAUACAUCCUGUAUGUCUGUCCGAAGAAGGUCAUAAUCAUGACUCUGGUGAUCUCCCUGAUUAUAGUUACAGGAAUCUAUUUCGGAAUGCCUUCAUAACAAAAAGAAAAAGUGGAAAACCGGGGAGUGAAGCCAACAGGGGCCCUAGAGUUGAACUACACGCUGGGGGAAAGGACUCUGGAAGCAGUUAAAUUUUACUGCAGCUACUAUGCUACUAAAUCCGAGUCGACCUGUGCCUACCAGCUGAUGACUAAUGAAGUGUGAGUACCAGCGCUGGGACCGCGUGUAUCCUCUAACUAAGGUAAAAGGCGCUCCCCUCUAUGGUGUCGAAAUGGUCCCGUCCCUACCUUGCAUCUUCCAAAAUAAGAGUAAGGUAACUUUAGGCCCCAAUAAAAAACUUUCCCGAUCAAUUAGCUACCCGGAUCCACAGUUUUGUAAAUUCACACUCUUUAUUGACUAUUAUAAUGCGGCCCGAUUGCGUAAGAAGAGGUCUUAUUUGUGGUGGAUGUGUGGUGAUGGUCUGUUGUGGGACUUGCUACCCAGUGGAUGGACAGGCACUUGUGCAUUGGUUUCUAUGAUAACCCCCACAGUGAUCAAGCAUCUCUCUCAGCAGGAAAUCAACCAUAUGGCGGAUUUCACCUGGGAGCGUGACUGGUGUGGGGGGUGUGUAAUUAAUUUUCUCAGGAGUCUUGUCCUCAGAAUUGUUCUCAAGGCCUUUGAAGGGAAGCACCACCACAGCCAAUAUCUGCAGCUUCUGCUGAAAGAGGACGUGGAGACCAUGAGCGCGCUUGCGCCGUUGAACGACGCCUUUUUCUUCCACGAAAACGCAUGGAACCUCGAGAGUAAUAGAUGAUCAUCCAGUGCGACACCGACAGCUUCCGCGUGACCAUCGACGACAUCCACUUGCUGGAUUCCAGACAUUGCGUUCACGACCUGCCAAGGAUCAAGGCGCUGACGGUGUGGCGUGACGUUUCGCUGACAGACGUCCGGCUGAUAUGACGUCACGGUCGCGGCAAGAUCGGCAGCACUACUUCCUGUCUGGACAUCCGCUUCCUGUCUCAACAUCAUCAUGCUAACAGCACUUCGCGCAAUUGGAACAUCAGCCAUUUCCUGUUUUAUUGUGCAUUAUACUUUCUAUUGU